CACACCUAUCUCUGAUCCUGACUAGCAGGUAAAACACACCUAUCUCUGAUCCUGACUAGCAGGUAAAACACACCUAACUCUGAUCCUGACUAGCAGGUAAAACACACCUAACUCUGAUCCUGACUAGCAGGUAAAACACACCUAUCUCUGAUCCUGGCUAGCAGGUAAAACACACCUAACUCUGAUUCUGACUAUCAGGUGAAACACACCUAACUCUGAUUCUGACUAUCAGGUAAAACACACCUAACUCUGAUCCUGACUAGCAGGUAAAACACACCUAACUCUGAUCCUGACUAGCAGGUAAAACACACCUAACUCUGAUCCUGACUAGCAGGUAAAACACACCUAACUCUGAUCCUGACUAGCAGGUAAAACACACCUAACUCUGAUCCUGACUAUCAGGUAAAACACACCUAACUCUGAUUCUGACUAUCAGGUAAAACACACCUGUCUCUGAUCCUGACUAGCAGGUAAAACACACCUAACUCUGAUCCUGACUAUCAGGUAAAACACACCUAACUCUGGUCCUGACUAGCAGGUAAAACACACCUAACUCUGAUUCUGACUAUCAGGUGAAACACACCUAACUCUGAUUCUGACUAUCAGGUAAAACACACCUAACUCUGAUUCUGACUAUCAGGUAAAACACACCUAACUCUGAUCCUGACUAGGAGGUAAAACACACCUAACUCUGAUCCUGACUAUCAGGUAAAACACACCUAACUCUGAUUCUGACUAUCAGGUAAAACACACCUGUCUCUGAUCCUGACUAGCAGGUAAAACACACCUAACUCUGAUCCUGACUAGCAGGUAAAACACACCUAACUCUGAUCCUGACUAGCAGGUAAAACACACCUAACUCUGAUCCUGACUAGCUGGUAAAACACACCUAACUCUGAUCCUGACUAUCAGGUAAAACACACCUAACUCUGAUUCUGACUAUCAGGUAAAACACACCUAACUCUGAUCCUGACUAGCAGGUAAAACACACCUAUCUCUGAUCCUGGCUAGCAGGUAAAACACACCUAACUCUGAUUCUGACUAUCAGGUAAAACACACAUAACUCUGAUCCUGACUAGCAGGUAAAACACACCUAACUCUGAUCCUGACUAGCAGGUAAAACACACCUAACUCUGAUUAUGACUAGCAGGUAAAACACACCUAACUCUGAUCCUGCCUAGCAGGUAAAACACACCUAACUCUGAACCUGACUAGCAGGUAAAACACACCUAUCUCUGAUCAUGACUAGCAGGUAAUACACACCUAACUCUGAUCCUGACUAGCAGGUAAAACACACCUAACUCUGAUUCUGACUAUCAGGUAAAACACACCUAACUCUGAUCCUGACUAGCAGGUAAAACACACCUAACUCUGAUCCUGACUAGCAGGUAAAACACACCUAACUCUGAUUCUGACUAGCAGGUAAAACACACCUAACUCUGAUCCUGACUAGCAGGUAAAACACACCUAACUCUGAUUCUGACUAUCAGGUAAAACACACCUAACUCUGAUCCUGACUAGCAGGUAAAACACACCUAACUCUGAUUCUGACUAGCAGGUAAAACACACCUAACUCUGAUCCUGACUAGCAGGUAAAACACACCUAACUCUGAUCCUGACUAGCAGGUAAAACACACCUAACUCUGAUCCUGACUAGCAGGUAAAACACACCUAUCUCUGAUCCUGACUAGCAGGUAAAACACACCUAACUCUGAUCCUGACUAGCAGGUAAAACACACCUAACUCUGAUCCUGACUAGCAGGUAAAACACACCUAUCUCUGAUCAUGACUAGCAGGUAAAACACACCUAACUCUGAUCCUGACUAGCAGGUAAAACACACCUAACUCUGAUCCUGACUAGCAGGUAAAACACACCUAACUCUGAUCCUGGCUAGCAGGUAAAACACACCUAACUCUAAACCUGACUAGCAGGUACAACACACCUAACUCUGAUCCUGACUAGCAGGUAAAACACACCUAACUCUGAUCCUGACUAGCAGGUACAACACACCUAACUCUGAUCCUGACUAGCAGGUAAAACACACCUAACUCUGAUCCUGACUAGCAGGUGUGUAUGAACGUUCCAGACUUUGAAGAACAACUGACGCAAACAUAAACAUCUCACUUCCAUCUCAAGUGUAAAUAACGUGUGUUGUGUGUGUGUGUGUGUGUGUGUGUGUGUGUGUAUGUGUGUGUGUGUGUGUGUGUGUGUGUGUGUGUGUGUGUGUGUGUGUGUGUGUGU